AGUUUUCUUUAUCUCCCCUUAAAUAAGAUGUCUUGGGAAUAGGGGCGGGGGUGCGUGUAGCUCAAUGAGCAAGGUGCCUUGUAAGAGGGUGUGGAUUCGGGCUGGGGAUUUAGCUCAGUGGUAGAGCGCUUACCUAGGAAGCGCAAGGCCCUGGGUUCGGUCCCCAGCUCCAAAAAAAAAAGAGGGUGUGGAUUCGAUCCCCCGCACUUCAUAAACAGAACAUGGUGGCAAAUGCCUUUAAUCCUAGUACUCAGAAGAUGAGCAUAGAAAGACCAGAAAUUCAAGGUCAUCUUCAGCUACAUAGGGAGUUCAAGGCCAGCUAGGAUAAAUGUCUCGGAGGAGGAAGAGGAGAAAAGAAGGAAAGAAGACGGAAAGGAAGGAAGGAAGGAAGGAAAGAAGAAGAAAAGAGAAAAGUAUCUUCAAUCAGCAUUUUCCUUUCUCAGAGCCUUUUCUGAUCUUACUUUCCAGCUCUGCCCGUCUUCCACCCUCCAGCAUGUGAAGCUUUCUUCCCUGGAUGGUUUUCCUAUGUCUACAGCAGAGCCUCAGUCCUCUGUCCUUUGCUAACAGGCAGUUUCCAUGUGCCCACAACCUGAAGCUCACUGAUUUAGACUAGCUGGCUAGCAAGCCUCAGUUUUGCCUCCCCAGUGCUGGGAUUACAGUCAUAUGCUGCUACGCCUGGCUUUUUCAUAUAUGUCCUAGGUAGUUAUCUUAACUCACUUCCUAAUGCUCGUAUGCCAAGCAAUUUAUUGUUUGGGUAUAAAAUGCAUGAUGUUAAUAAGUGAUGUGGUGUUUAAGUUCAUUAAGAAGCUGACUGUGAACAUAGGGUUGCCACCCCGUCCAUGUCCCUGCCAUAAACACACUUACUACCCAAACAAGUCACUCUUAAAGUGUCCGAAAGACCCCCUGACUGGGGAUGGACUGGCUGGCUGGCCCUAGGAGAAAGCAGAAGCAGGAUAGUGAAAUGGCCUAAAGAGUAAAAACACCGGCUCCACAAGGACAGAAGGAGAGUAAGUAUUUGAGUCAAAAUACUAUGUCCUUGAUCACAGUGGGAGGGCCACUUAUUCCCUCUGACCUUCCUGACAUAAAGAUGUCGUAGGUGGCAGGAAUGGCUCAUUGCAUAUCUCACCUAAAAGAAGCCGUUCUUCCUGCAACCCUUUUUGUGGGUCAGGGAGAGGCUCCAACUAGCUGGUUUUUGCUCUCCAGGUUGUUGCUUCCUGCUGGAUGACGUAAGUGUCUGAUCUCACAAACUACUAUCUCCUGUUUGCUGUCUCUUUCUUUCAUUUCUGUUUGCUGUAUACCUAAAAACCGUGCUUGUCUGAAAAUAGCACAGCUAAUGCAGAUCAUUCUUCGUUCAGGACACUGAGCCAUCUCCCCAGGUCCCUGACAACGGAUUUCGUAAACUAUUUCCCAUUGUUCUGUUUGGAGAAUACCUAUUAUUCUGCCUUCGGGUUGAUUGGCAGACAAGCAGGUGUUUCCCCUGCCCAUGCCAUGUUGCUGCUGAACCCAUUUGGUGAGUUAAUUUCCAUUAUUGAAAAUUUCAGGUCUUUCGCACUCACUUCCUUUCUUUGUGGAGAUUGUUCCUCGCUGAGACUCUUUAUAAAAUCAUCGGUUACACGAUUGUUUAUGGCUGGGUAUAGUGGUGCGCUCCUUUAAUUCCAGCCCUUGGGAGGCAAAGGCAGGUGGGUUUCUGUGAGUUUGAGGAUGGCCUGGUUUACACAGUGAGUUCCAGGACAGCCAGGGCUCUCAAUGUGUGGGUUGCAACUCUUUUGAGGGUCAAAGGACCCUUUCACAGGGGUCACCUAAGAUCACAAAACACAGAGCUUUUCACUAGCAGCAGCAAAAUUACAGUUAUGAAGUAGCAGUGAAAAUAAUUUUAUGGUUGGGGGGUCACCACAGCAUGAGGAACUGUAUUAAGGGUCACAGCAUUGGGAAGGUUGAGAGCCACUGGCUUAUGGUGUUUCUAGUCUGUACCUUUUGCCACUUCUGGUGAGAUGUAGGUAUAUAAGACCCAAAAUAACACAGGGAACUCACUGGCAUGUUGUUCUACAUAAGACACACAAGUGUUCUUGGUAGGAAGAAUACAAACAUGCUAUCUUGUCCAGAAAUGGAGAUCUCCAUUUAAAUCUUCUGUAACAAUUCAUCUUAGCUCUUUAUCUUCUGUUCUUGAAUUUAUUCAUUGCCAUCGUUUUAAUAAUGUUCGAGUGACAACUGAAAAUAAUUGUGCUUCCCAUAGGACUAUUGCCAUUUUCCUAGGAAAAUAAUGAAAUGAAUUUGCCUUCCACGGUGAUAAGCCAAAACACAAUGAUCUCACUUUGUGGAAAGUCUUAUUAGAAGUACAUGAAGGGAGGCUGGAGAGAUGGCUCAGUGGUUAAGAGCGAUGACUGCUCUUCUAGAGGUCCUGAGUUCAAAUCCCAGCAGCCACGCGGUGGCUCACAACCAUCUGUAAUGGGAUCUCAUGUCCUCUUCUGGUGUGUCUGAAGACAGCUACAGUGCACUCACAUACAUAAAAUAAAUAUACCUUUAAAAAAAUAAGUACAGGGGUUGGGGAUUUAGCUCAGUGGUAGAGCGCUUGCCUAAGAGGCGCAAGGCCCUGGGUUCGGUCCCCAGUUCCAAAAAAAAAGAACCAAAAAAAAAAAAAAAGUACAUGGGGGUUGGGGAUUUAGCUCAGUGGUAGAGCGCUUGCCUAGCAAGCACAAGGCCCUGGGUUCGGUCCCCAGCUCCGAAAAAUAGAAAAGAAAAAAAAAAUAAUAAGUACAUGAAGUGUAUGUUCUUUAGUUGGUGGUUCAGUCUUUAAGACCCUCAAGGGUCCGGGGGUCCAGGUUAGUUGACUCUGUUGGUCUUUCUGUGGAGUUCCUAUCCCCGUCAGGGCCCACCGUCCUUCCUCCUGUUCUUCCAUAAGAAUCCCCAAGCUCCAUCCACUGUUUGGCUGUGGGUGUUUGCGUCUGUCUGAGUCAGCUUCUGGGUGGAGAACACACACAGGCUGAACCCAGGCGUCCCCACACAUAUGUAGCAGAUGUGCAGCUUGGUCUUCAUGUGAGUCCUGAACAACUGAAGCAGCGGCUCUCCCAAAAGCUGUUGCCUGUCUGUGGGAUGUGUUCUUCUAGCUGGGCUGCCUUGUCUGGCCUCAGUGGGAGAGGAAGUGCCGAGUCUCACAGAGACCUGAAGUGCCAGGGUCGGGGGAUACCCAAGGGUGCUCCACCUGCUCCGAGGAGAAGGGAAGAGCAGACGGGGGACAGAUUGUAAGAGAGGGUGAUCAGGAGGGGGGCAGUGAUCAGGAUGUAAAGUAAAUAAGUAAAAAAUUAAGUGAAAAAAGUACAUAAGUGUGCUUAUGACAAGAAAAUAAACCUUUGGUUCCACUGGUCCGGUGGGUGUGGCUGGGUGGGCGUGUGCUUCUUGGGUCCCUCAAAUGAUCAGGGAAGUCUGAGGGAACUUAUUAUAGGUAAGAAAUGGACCUUAACAUUCGAAUGUUUUCCAAGUAAUAACAUAUUAGAAGAAAAGCAGCUUUCUCUAAAUGAGUUCCCUGUUCACUGGUUGCUAAGCCUCUGGGCUUGCUCUCCCACGGUAUGUGGGAAGAGGCCUACAGUAGUUGCGCAAAAGCCUAAUGCCCACUAUCACUUUAGAUUUCAGCCAAAGACCAGCAAAAGACUUCCAUAUCUAGACUAGAGACACAUGACACAAAAGAGUGAACAAAGAGCUAGGGGAGAUGGCUCAGUAGAUAAAGUGUUUGUUGUGCAAACGUAAGAAUGCGAGUUUGAAUCCGAGGCACCCACAUAAAUACCAGGCUGCUUGCCUGUAAUCCCAGCACUCCGGAGGCAGAGACAGGAGAUGCCUGAAGCGAGCUGGCUAGCUAGGCGAUCCAAUCACUGAGCUGUAUUCAACUGAGAGACCCUGAGGAGUAGUGAGGAAGACACUCAACAGUAAGCUCUAGUGUACACACGUACACACAUGUAUGUAUGCUCACACACAUGCAAACACACAUCUGAACAUGCACAGAUACCGCACAAACAUAGGCAUGCAAUAACAAAUGAAUUAAACCCAUGGUAUUGGUGGUGAGUCAGAGGAUCUGCUCUUACAGACUAGGCUAACAUCUGAGUCUCCUGUGUACGGCUGUCUGUGGAAAUGCUAACAGAAGAUUUCUUUAGGUGCUCCUGAAGGCAGCUCCCAGUAGAUAGCUUUUCUUAACUGCUCAGAAAUAAGCCAUGACUUCCCAAAAGUGUCUUCUUUGGAGAGUCAACAGGAUAUUGGCACUGGGUUUCCUAUGGCUUCUGUUUGCACUGAAAGGCAGGAUUGAAAAAAAAAAAACAGAUUUAGGCAUAGAAGCCAGGUUGUAUGGACACCACGUCUGGUAACAAAGCAACACUCAGUUCCAUCUACUGUAGCAAGCAGAGGACGGCAAAGCGUCUGAGUCUCCACUCUUUAAUUGUUUGAGGAUUCCUUUUCAUGCUUCAGGAUGGAAGCAGGCUUCCAGUAGAGAGGUUCCUUGGGACCCAGCCGUCUGAAACACUUCAUUAAUUUAAGAAUGAGAAGCAAAAAGCUAUUCCCCCCCCCAGCACCCCUUUUAUCAGACUCUCCUCACUACUUACAUAUCAACACAUGCUUCUCCAAUGUAAAGGCAUUUGUAUUAAAUAUGUGUGGCACAGUUAUGUGGCAGGCACUUAAGACACAGCCAGUUAUUCUAAGGCCCUGUGAGAGGCUUAGAAAAAUAUCUCUAAUCAAAAGCCCCAGCACUGGACAUUGCAAAAUUCAAGAAUGUUUGCCCCAGAGAACUCUUGACACAUUUCACUGGAUGCACCUAAGACCUACCACCAGGCGGCUCUGCGGGCACAGAGGUGCAGGAGCCCCAACAGGAGGCUGUCAGCACACACACUCACAGCUCAGGGGCCAUCAGGACCCAGGAAAGGCCUUACCUAGCUCAGAGGACCUGAGGAAAAAACACUGGCAGGAAAUGACUGUCAGGUAAAGGUGGGAAGCUGGAUUCUCUGUCAGACUAGGAGGCUAGACCAUAUGACAAGGUUAAUAGUGGGGAAUAUCCUACAGGCAAGAGCCUAAAGUAAAAGGGGGUUCUAGCCUGAGGACCCAUUUCUCCUAUAGAAAUGACCCUCUCCCAUGCCAUGGCUGGUUUCCUAAUCCAUUGUGUAGGUAAAGCCCUGUCAUAUGAGACAAACAGCAAAGACUCUGCUUCCUGACCGAUGAUGACAUACUCUAAGGCCUGACUCAGCAGGUCUUCAAUAUUGCGAUCCACAAAGGAGUGGAGGAAGCUGGCAUUAGUGCUGGGUGUGUUCUAUGAAGCUGUCACAGGGACUGUUGAGUUCUCAGCCCACCAUUGAGGUCCAUGUGGGACAAACCCACAGAGGCAGAAGCUGUGCUGUGGGACAAUCGGCAGUGUUCCAUGAGUCCUUCCUGAUCAAAGUUUUCAGGAGCAUAGGGCAAGGUAUGAUAGUGUGGGACAUUCCUUGGCUUGGCAGAAAAGUAACGUCUUUUGCACCUUCCAUGAUGUAAAUGUAAUUCUGGUGUUUGGAACAGGUAGCCACAUGGGUUCAGAUCUCAGAAUGGUGGUUUUUUCCCCUAUAAUUCUGGGCAUUGAAUCUAGGGUUUCCACAUCUAGGCAAAUGCUCUACCACUAAGCGGCAGUCCCAGCCCUUCUUUGUAUGCCUGUGUGUGUGUGUGUGUGUGUGUGUGUGUGUGUGUGUGUGUGUGUGUGUAGGCCAGAGGUUGAAGUUGGUGUCUUCCUCAAUAGUCCUCUGCCUUAAUUUUGGAGACAGGAGCUCUCCCUGAACUGAUUUGUCUAGAUUGGUUAAGCAGCCAAGGAAUCUUCUUGUCUCUGCCCUCCAGCACUGAGGGGUACAUGCAUCAUCAACCAGCAUUUAAAAAAAAAAAGGGGGGGUUGGGUAUUUAGCUCAGUGGUAGAGCGCUUGCCUAGGAAGCGCAAGGCCCUGGGUUCGGUCCCCAGCUCCGAAAAAAAGAACCAAAAAAAAAAAAAAAAAGAUUUAUUUAUCACAUAUAAGUAAGUACACUGUCGCUGUCUUCAGACACACCAGAAGAGGGCAUCAGAUCCCAUUACAGAUGGUUGUGAGUCACCAUGUGGUUGCUGGGAAUUGAACUCAGGAUCUCUGGAAGAGCACUCAGUGCUUUUAACGGCUGAGCCAUCUCUCCAGCCCCAUCAUCCAGCAUUUUUAUGUGGGUUCUGGGGAACCAAACUCGAGUCCUCGUGCUUGCUCUUUACUGAAAGCGAAUUAGGAAACUGGCCAUGGCAUCGGAUAGGAUCACUUUCCCAUCCCCCACCAGCCCUUUUUUAAUCUUUAAUUUUGAGAUAAGAGUCUCACUAAAUUGCUUGGUCUGGUCUUGAACUUACUCUGUAUCCCACACAUUUUGAACUUUUAGUCUCCCCAAGUAGCUGGUUAUUGGCCUGCAGUCUGGCUAGGUCUGGAGGAGUGCUCAGAGUACCUGCGGAAGAUGCCUCUACUGUUUCCUGCUUCACUGACACAGCUUUGAUGUCUGCUCUGCUCACAUAGGUUUCUCUGGCUUCACGAAUUCAGUUGGUGAAGGGAUACCUCUCCUCUGUGUUCUGUGUUUCAUUAGAAGCUGUGCUGCGAAGAUGGCCUCUUCAGGUCAUACCUACACAACUCAGACCACACGUACUUGACGCCCCAUCCUCCGGUUUGUGGUGAUUCUACAUGGGAUCCAGUAGCCAACAUGAGCUUCAUAAACUUGGCAGUGGAAAAAUGUUUUUGGACAUUUUAUGUUACGCCAUCACUAGGAAUUAAUUCAAAAUCAAAUGUGCAGCUUCCAAGGUUAUCUGGGCUGCACCCGCCCGCGUUUUCUCAGAAAACUUCACUCCAGUUUGGUUCUGAGCAUACGACCCACACUGUGCAUGACAACUCAUGACAUAAGGGCAACAAAAAAUGUGGCCAGCAACACCCAGCUCAGGUUUGAGACUGUUCAUAUUAGGAGGUGUGGUGUUUUACUGUACAAAGUUUCCUGCCCUUCUUAAAAAUGGCUUAAUUAUGGAAAAGAAAGACUUAAUUUUUUUCCUAUUGUCAUUCCUUGGCAUGUAAGUAUCCUUACUUGGGGCGUGGUGUGUUAGAAUGUUUGAUUUUAAAAGCUGCUGUUUGAGUAGCUGAUGGGUUUCAUAAAAAUUUGCUCAAUGACUCUUGGCUUCGUCUCAGCUUCUGAAAUGGCUCAAAGCGGUAGUCUCAGUGCCGAUGACCAUAAAACCAGGCAGUUCUGACGGACGAUGGAAGUGUGUCUGAGUAGCACAUAUUCAGCCAUGAUUCUGGUAAAAUUAUCAAGCAUAUUUAGCUCAAUUAGCAUAUAAAUGUUUGCAUCUUUCACGGUGAAAUUAUAUGUACCAAAAAACCUGUUUUAAAAUAAAUUCUUGGGUUGGAGAGAUGGCUCAGCUGUUAAAGGCUAGGCUCACAACCAAAAAUAUAAGUUCUUUAUGAUAGACUAGCACUGGAUGUUUGAUUUGUGUACCUACUCAAUUUUUUUUAAAGAUUUAUUUAUUUAGUGUAUUUAUUUUGCAGACAUGUCCUCAUCUGGGAUUCUCUCAGAUGAGUACACUGUCUUUAGACACACCAGAAGAGGGCAUCAGAUCUCAUUACAGAUGGCUGUGAGCCACCAUGUGGUUGCUGGGAAUUGAACUCAGGACCUCUUGAAGAGUAGUCAGUGUGCUCUUAACCGCUGAGCCAUCUCUCCAGCCCCCUACUCAUUAUUUAUAUACACCCAGGAUUGUGUAAAGUUCCAUGAGCAAAGGGGCUGCAAGUAGACAUUGCCAACGCCCCAUUAGAGCCUUCAGGUGGCAGCAGACUUGUCUCUCUGGCGGGAGUUCUAGAUAAGCACUGGAGUGUCCCUUCCGUUUGCUGACACUGCCCAUCGUCCCUGCAGUCUGCUUUUGAGUCUGGUGGUGGGACUGGGGUGGGAGGUAGGGGUGUUAGGAAGUAGAGUACGUGCUGUGAUGCUGAUUUUCUCUAUUAAAUUUGAUUCUAACAUUCUCUACUCUCAAAUAAUAUCAAAAGGGUAUGUUUUCUACAUAUGCUUUUCUUUUUCUUUGAGACAGGUUCUUGCUCUGUAGUCCAGGCUGGCCUCAAACUUAGCGGUCCUCCCGCAUCUGUGCCUUAGAUGGCUGAGUGCACAUCUAAGGUGUGUGCCAUUGCACCUACCCUUUUCCGUUUUGCGUUAUUCUGUAAUGAAAUGCUGGGAGAGCAGCUAGGUUGCUAAUGGUGUUUCCAGCUAUCUGCAAGUUCCUCUUCAUCCUACAAGAACGUGUUACAUGCUCUAUGUUGGAAUCACUUCCAGCAUAUAUAAUGAGUCAAAUUAGACUUCUAAGAAUGUCUACAUGUCUGUCUUCUGGCCAAAACAACUCUAAUUUUACUGUUGUAUCUUCCGUCUCCACAGACUGUUUUUUGCUUUUUGAUUUACAGCAUUUGAUAAUGCCAACACCUGAAAUUAACAGACACUUUUCUAUUGUCUUUAUGGUGGUGAAAAAGUUGUGAGGCUCCCUCUGCCUCUAUGGACACCUUCCACAGAAACUGGGCUCCACAGAGCUGGCCAGGUUCUAGGCAUCCUAUGUCCUGUGUCCGGUUCUUUCUCAAACUCACCCCAUCCAAGUGCUGUCAAAUAGAAAACUGUACACAGCCCUUUCUUGUAUUCCAACAGCCACAUCUUCCACAUUAAACUCAGCAGCCAAUUCUGCAUUCUCUUUGUAACUUCAUAUAUCUGAAACUCUCCCAAAGUUAUUUUCCAAAUAUCCAGCAGUCCUCGAAUUCAGCCAUCUUCACAACCUGCCCACACACUCAUUCUACACACUCUCUUUAAGAUCAACUUUAGGUCCUUUAUGUCUUUUCAGAUCCUAAAUCAAAAGCCCAGUUGGUGCUGGGCUCUUUCAGAAACGACAUGACCAUCACAGAUGACAGUGUGCACAGAUGCUGUAGACAGAUGUGUACAGGGAAGUACUUGGAAUUCUAACAGGUGGUGCUCAGGUCUGAACCAUGACCCUGGGGCUCCAGGGAUGGUAGGCCAGUGAUUACCACAUAAUUCCCCUGGCAUUAGAUCAAGCAGCCUAAACUUUCCUUAUAGCUCUUUCACUUUGGCUCAACCACAAUGGCAACCUCAGACUACAAUCCACAUUAUCAACAAGGCAUUUAUUCUGUAGUUUAUUCUAAACAUUCCACCUUAAAACUGCCUGCCAUUCUAAACGUUCCACCUUAAAACUGCCUGCCAUUCUAGCUCACAUUUCCACCCAGCCCUGACUUCACGUUGAUCUCUUCACACUCUUCUGUUUGAGUACAUAGCUUUUGUAAAGUCGAGGUUUCCAUACUAACCCUGUCCCCACCUUUGGAGAUAAGGGAUCUUACUAUGUAAACCAGGUUGGUCUCGAACUCACAGAGCUCUGCCUGCCUUUGCCUCCUGAGUGCUGGGGUUAAAGGCGUGAGCCAUGCCCAGCUAUGCCAUCAUUUGUAAUUACAGUGCUGCCUUCCAUCUAAUCAUCAAACUCCCGUUUGUCUUCAGUCUUCCAGCAUGGACUUGAAAAUGCACUGCACUCUUAACCUCUCUUAAUUCCACCCUACUGGCUGAGACCAUUCACUGUGCUCAUUUCACCCACUUUUGUUACACUGUAACAGGGAAACAUCCCAUUUGACUCUAGACAAAAGUGCUUACCAGGUGGCUUGCUUUAACCCAUUACUGGUUAAUACUUUAUCAGAUUCCAUUGUAAGUUUUUAAGUUCUGGGCCACUGUGCAAAGUUAUUUCACAUUUAUAGUAAGUAACAGAGAAUCAGUACUAGAGCUGGCGUUUGCAUGCCAGUGACAGUAAGGCAUGCAAUCUGCAUGCUGGCAUUUAUUCCUAACUGAGAUGCAUGUGAGCAGUGGCCACGGUAUUUACAUUGCUGGUAACAAUUCCUAAAAAUCUGGAAAACUGAGCACAGUCAGCAGAUUAUGUUUAUAAAAACAACAUAAAGACAUCUGGAUUCAGGCAUGAAAAAAGUGGUCAAACUCAGGAUGGGAUUUUCAAUGGUUAAACAAAGCUUCUACAAAAGUAACACAGACACAGUCUAAUCACACCUAAAGACAAGUAGAAAGCGUCUGGAAAAUUAAAACUUCUGUCAUACUUCAGACAACCUACUGAACCACAAGUGGAAGAAAGUUCCAGGAAGUUUUCUUAUCUAAAUAUCUUCUAAACUGAAAAGAUGACCUCUAAGAGAUCUGUGUUCAGACGGCUGACAAUGUACCAUCAAACAGACCAGGAAAUGACACUGGCUACUCCAGGUACUCAGCUUGGAGCCAAAUACCGUGCGGACUCCAUCUCAUUCAACCCACCUAUCAUUCUAUUCAAGUCGGUUCUUUAACAGACAGGAAACUGAGUUGCUGAACCUGUUCCGAGAUUCUAGCAAUUCAAGGUCAGAUUGCAAAUGACAUCUAUCACAAGCCGGGCCAGACUCAAACCUCUCAGAACUUCCUCAGGAGACUUCUGAGACUUCUAAACGCCCCUGAAGCAGAGUCUAUUGGUAUUUCUACUCCUCUAGUCCGCACUCUGAGCCCGUCAGCACAGCCCAUGUUUCUUAUAUAGCUCUACAUUCCCAACCCAUCAGAGCAGCAAUACUGAGGACGCUUGCUAAAUAACAAGGGGACACUGAAUCCAUCACUGCCAUGCCUGAGAUGCCAGCUCAGGUAUUCGAACUGUGCUUCGCCUGGAACAAGGACCAUAAUUUUAAUGGACAAAUGUAACAUGGGUCUGUAAGCCUCUCAGGCUUUCCUGAUCCAAAAGGUAGCACAUAGGAUACCCGGGAAGGAGGUGGUGCAAUGGUAAAGCCCUGUGUUGCUACUGUGUGUGGUGCUUCUGACCCCCACCGUUCUGGAGGCGCUACCUAGCUGCUGCGGCUGCUAUGCAAACAGUCGCUUCUGAAACGAAACCUUCUGCUCCUCAAUUCAUGAAGGCGGGAACACUUUACAGAUGGCUCCCUGUAUCCUGCCUCUGGUACUGUUUUCAAGUUAGGUAGAAAAACUAAGCUUAAAACUUUCAGGAUUAGAGCAGUAACCUCCUUUGGUCUACUGUUUUUGAAUAAAGCUUAUGAGACAACACACAAAGAAAGACAAACAUCAUAAAAUAACUUUUAUACAGGAUUAGUAGAUCUGUUUACAUAUAAAAAACAAAGGACCUCAUUACAGUUAGAGUUCACAUAAAUUACACAGAUUAACUUUUUUAAAACUACUAUUCAAUUCUUUUAAAGUCCCUUUUAAAUUUUCAUCUUGAAGGCACAGUGCAUGAAAUAAAACAAAAGACUGAAGCACUUAAGACGAAUGAAUGGGUGUUGUGUCACAUAAAUAACUGUGAAGAGUUUUGGAUCUGGGGAAGUAUUCCGAAAUCAAGAGAGGUAAAAGGAACAUAAAAAAAUACCAUGUCAUACCUCCAAAAAAAUCUGCAGUGCAGAAUGUAGCUGGUACAUUCAUGCUAUGCCGGCUAUAAACAUUGUAAUUGUCUGUAUUUACAUAAUUUUUAUCCAAUUGCCUCAAAAUGGUAACCUACUUUCAUAUUUCAAAAUCAACCAGGACAAUACUCUGAGAGUUAAGUGGAGCUAUCAGUGAAGUUUUUCCAAAUAUAAAGGAAAAGUGUAUUUGGGAGGGUUUUCUUCAAAAAACUAGAAACCCAAAUUCAAUUGACAUUAAUCAAAGACCCUAUUCACCCCCCCAAACUGCUAUAAUAAAAACAAAUCAGAAACCUAAAGUUAUCAACAAGUUGCUAGACUGAAAGAUCAUUGAAUAUUUAACCAUUAGUGGAAUUUUAAUAAUAACAAUAAAGGAAAAAUUUGGGGAAAAUACUUGGGUGCCACCAUAAAACAAUCCACCAGAGACCCAUACUGCAGGACACCAUGACAUGUUCAUAGUCAAUGAGAGAGCAGAGACACAACCUGACGCAGUGUGAGUCUGGCAAGACGAGAAACCUCUUCAAUGCUAGGAACAGGCGGAGAUAAACUGUGGUUCCAGUAAGCUGGUGCUAACUCAAAAAAGCAUCAAGUUCAGACAUAAGCACUACCCUUUUAUUUUUCACUCAUAAUUAGUUUUAAAUUCAAUAUUCACCAAUUCAGCAAAUCUCAUUCAGAUGAAAUUAUCAAAGAUUAACCAGCCAAGCACACUGAGCCAAGCAUGCAAUGUUCCCUUCCUCGAAGCUAACUGAGUCCCAAAGCCAAUUCUUCUCAGCAAGAAUGGCACGGAAACACCCAGCAGAUGCCAGCACC